AUAUCGAUAACAAUUCCGCUUUCUUUUUAAACGUUUUCUUUGAAUCCCUGAAUCCCUGGUUGACACCUCCUUACUUGGCAUCUUACGCCCUUGGACUCACGCCCCAUUCCUAAUCGAUCAUUUGUCACCGGGGGUGAUGACGUCGAACACUCCCGGGUUUAUCAAGCGCCGCGUCCAAGGUUAGGCCUCUUUCUCUUUAGCCACUUGGUAAGCGUUUCUUCUUCCCGAAGGACUUAAAAGUAUGUCGUGAAGGUCACUUGAGGCCACAUGCUUGGAAUAGCGGGGCAAGCGCUACAUGAAUUUUACGAGUGCUUGAAAAUCUUGGUAUUUUUCCGGGUUGCCAAUUUAUCUUCCGUGUGUCCCCACAUGGACCUUUGCUGGAUGUGCUGUGCGUAUGUGUGACACCUUCGCUGGAUAUGUUGUGUGUGUACCCUGGAGACUAUACGGUGACAUCGUAGGCGCUACUCUGCCGACGGUGGACCGCUGGUGACUAUCAGAAUUGGGGUUCCAGACACGCACAAGGUCAACCUCCAGACAAUAUUCGAAUUUACCAACACCUCCUCCGACCAUAAUGUUUCAUACGUGCCUCGUGUUGACAGCAGCCAUCGUCCUAAUAUACUCACAGCGAUCAUUUGUCAUCCCGGUGGAGACCGUAGCCCCGCCGCCGAAUACCCAUGAGCGGUGCGCUGUCCGGCACAGCUCUCACAGCAUCGGUGACAGAUCCACCUGUACCUUCGUCAGGACGCAAGACGUCGAUCCUAACAGGAUCCCUCCCGUGUUGCCUAGGGUACGGUGUAAGUGCCGGAGACAGCGAUGUUCGCGCACCGGUGACUUCACCUGCCAAGACAUUCGAGAUACUUUUGAAGUAGCGUACCCCUCAGGAACAGGAAGAGGUGAACUGAAGUACGAGAACGUGACGGUGACGACGGCUUGCGUGUGUGCCACUUCCAGAAGUGUUAGAGCUUAUGGUAGAGGGCAGAGGACGCAGAAUUCCUUCAAGUUCCCAUGAGACCUUGCGUGCCACAGGUCCCAAUGAAAGCAUCUGAGGGAUGGUUAAUUGGCAUGGCAGUUCCGUGGGACAGCCUGCCUAGCACGAGUUGAUCCUGCUCUUCGUAUUUAGGGGGAGAGCAGUACUAUUUUUAAAGUUUUUGUGGGGAAGUUCUCGCUUGUCCCGUCCUACAGUUGGCAAUACAAGGUAUAUCUAAUCUGGCAUCCCUCCUACGGAUCUUCAACGCGAGCUUGGAGCCAAGGGGAAGUCCCUAACGAGUGGAAGACCGCGAUGGUGGUCCCUUUACUGAAACCAGGUCAAUCACCGCAUCACAUCGAUUCUUUCCGCCCAAUAGCUCUUACAAGCUGUGUGGGGAAGACCUUGGAACGUCUAAUAUUCAAUCGCCUGAGCUGGUACCUUGAGAGCACGGUUUUUUUUCCCGAGGAAAUGGUGGGUUUUCGCCCAGGCCGGUCAGCAAUGGGGGGGAUAUGUUUAAUAGAGUGAAAAAAAAAAAAAAAGAAAGCGGAAAUGUCAGCCAUGCUAUUGCCAGUUUGCUAUUCCGAAAAAGAAACUGAAACAAAAUAAACAAAAGGAAAAAAAAAGGAACUGAAAAAUAAACAAAUAGAAAUAUGAAGAAAGGAACUAAGAAUAAACAAAAGAAAUAAAGGAAAGGAAAAUAUGAAAGAAAAACAGGCACGCGGUGCAGUGCACCGCGUGCCUGUUUGCGUGUUGUAGGCGACGGCAUGAGAUCUAAAUGCUUGGGCACGGGCUGCACACCGGUGGCGAAUAGCUAAAUGGCAAGCCGAAAGUGUAAGUGGUGGACGUGUAGUGGCAGGAGUAGCAGCUGCGGCGGCUCGUCUUGCAGCCGCGUCUGCGCGUGUGUUACCGGUCAGGCCCACAUGACCAGGCACCCACUGAAGCGACAAAGCAUGACCAUUGGCACGGAGUCUGUUAUACAUCUGAAUGAUCAUGCUGGGUAUAUCCUGUAUGAGGUUGGGGCGGGCCGACAUCAAGCGGAGGAGGGACGCCUUGCUGUCGAUGAGGAUGACCCAUUUACCAGGUGGCAAGUCAGUAAUGUAUUCAUAGGGCGGUAAGAAUGGCGAACAGUUCAGGCUCGGUGGACGACAUGGGGUAGGGCAGUUUGUAGGCCUGUUCAUGGUCUGUAUCGGCAACGUAAAAGGCCGCGCCCGAUGCUUCAGACAUUACAGAAGCAUCGGUGAAGAUUUGUCGGCAAUGGGGAUGGGUAGAGGUGAGAUGGGCCAAAGCGAGUUGUUGGGCUACCACAGGGCUGAUUGCCUGUUUUCGGGGAAAGUCUGGUAUAGUGGCGUGAAUGCGAGGCCGUUUUAAGGUCCACAUUGCUGGCGCAAAGGUAGUGGUAGGUGUCGAGGACGGGAGACAGUCUCGUAAGCGGGUAACUGCUUUGGCAAAAGCGGAUGCAGGGCAGCUCACAGCAAUACGGCGAAGAGGAUGAGAGGGUUGCGUCAGACAGCGAGCGUAGACGCGAAGGGUGGCUGAGUCCCGCAGAAUGGGUACAGGCUGCUCCCGAGCUUCUGCGAGUACGGAAUAUGUCUCCGUUGUUCGAGGGACACCAAGACAAACACGGAGACUGAGGGCUUGGAGGCUCAGGAGCUCCUGCUCUCGGGUGCAGCUGAGGGCAUGAAGGAUCGGGAGGCUGUACCGCAGUGUGCCCAAAACAAGAGCCGUAUGAACCCGGUAGAGGUCCUGGCAACACGGGCACCAGGACGCUCAUGCUAUACGUUUGAGGACAUUGACCUGGCUGGAGGCUUUCGUAGCAAGCGUCUUCACGUGAGAUAACCAUGUGAGGCCUUGGUCGAUUGUGAAGCCCAGGUAACGGCAGGUUUUGACAAAGGUUAAGGGCGAACCGUCGAUGAAGAGUGGAUAUUUGUGGAACGAUCUCCACGAAAAGGCCAUGGCGACAGUUUUGGCGGGUGAGAUGGCUAGGCCGCGGUCGGCAAGAUAGUGGGAGAUUGUGUCCAAGGAGCGUUGUAGACAACGUUGCAUCACAUCACGACGAAGAGCAGAGGUCCAAAUACAAAUGUCAUCUGCAUAGAUUGUGAUGUGGGUGAGGCUAGGCAGCUGUGCAGGGAGGGAGGCCAUAAUGAUGUUGCACUGUCAUAGGCUUUCUUGAUAUCCAGGAAAACAGCAGCGGUCAGGAAGCCGUCAGCGCGAGCCUGCUGCUGCCUGACGAACGGCCUGAGCGAAAGCCCAUCAUUGUUUCCGGGAAGAAAGUAUCACUCUCAAGGUGCCAGAUGAGACGGGUGAAAAUCAUUCGUUCCAGAGUUUUACCCACGCAGCUUGUAAGGGCUAUCGGGCGGAAGGAGUCGAGGUGAUGGGGCGACUGGUCAGGUUUGAGCAAGGGGACAACGAUCGCCAAUUUCCAUUCCUCAGGGAUUCGCCCCUGCUGCCAACUGUCAUUGAAGAGGCGUUAUGAGAGAGAAUGGUAAGAGAUGCUGCCUCCCCAUAUGCGGAAGGUGCUGGAGCACCCUGUACGAGAUCUGGUCUGCACCUGGGGAGGUAUGUUGGGGCGAGGCACAUAGGGCAGAGUCUAACUCCUCUAGCGUAAAAGGUAAGUCCAGGACUGUGUUGCUGGUAGAUGGCAUCGGAGUAGUAGCAGUUUGAGUUGAAGCAGGUGAGGCGGGCAUAAAAGUCCUCUGCAAUGUGAAUUCCGGUGCGUGAUGUGGCCAGAGACAAGGAGCGGAACGGGUGACGUUGCGGUACAGGUGUCGAAAGGCCCUUAAGCACACCACAAAUACGAGACAGAGUAGAAAAACUUUGUUUUGCCCCACUUGUGCACAUACACGAAAUCAUCUGCCACCCGAGUACAUUUCCGUAUCCUGCUCCUUUGUGCAUGUGCCACAUUAUAGGCAUGUUUAUCCGUGCAUCUCACAGAACGCUAGAUCCCGGGGGCUGAGCCGUAGCGACGGGGGGGGGGGGGCGAGAGGGGCAGCCGCCCCGGGCGCAUUCGCGAGAGAGGGCGCCGAACGGCAGGUCCUGGCAGGUUGGUUGGACAGGAUAAAGCGGGAACGACGAAAAUUUGAAUUUACGAUCUCGGCAGUGCAAGCGUUUUCAUUUAUUUGUUUACAGGGCUUCUGACGGCUGUGGGUGAGGAGUGGGGGGGGGGGGGGGGACUUCAGACUUACUCUGUACUGGGCGCUACGGCUCUGCCGAGGGGUAUUAUUGCCGCGUCACCCACUCUUCCAGAUGCUUCCGCGCAAAAGUGUAGCUCCUAUACUUCUCGUUGGCUGCUGUGUGGGACGCCUUGCAUUCUAGUUGCCUCCGCGGGAAAAAUGAAGCCAUUAUUUCAAUUUCAUCGUUUCUUUUUUUCUUUUUUGUUGUUGUUGUGGUGGUGUUUAUUAAUAGGCCUGUUCCUUCACACAAAUGUUGCAACGGAUGGUCUUUUUUCACAUUGUUGAAAUACUGAGAACUUUUUGCCCGCUUUGUAGUUUGCUGGGUUUGUGUGUUGAAGCCGUCAUGGCUAGAAGUCCGCUCAUAUUCGAAACCUUAAAAGUGUACCUGAAGCAUGUGAAGCGCUUUGUAAUUUGUCAAGGGUACUGUGCAUCGCCGCUAUAUUCCUUGACAUGGAUCAUCAUGCAUGAGGCACCUCACGCCAAGUGAUAUGGAUUUGAUUAAACAAAUCGGAUUUAAGUCAACUCUUUAUUUUAGAGAAGCAAAUGAAAUUAUUAUGUUUCCAGAAUUAUAGUUUUUCUGUAUUUUAUUUUAUUUAUGUAUUUUAUUUCUGCUCUUACGCAACAACGUCUUAUGACAUUAUACGGUGACUGUUCGAAGCGCAAUGAAAUGGAAGGAAUCUGUUGAUUCGGUAAGCGGCUACAGUAUAUAGUCGAUUGUCUUUUGUUGUAGGUUACUGUUUUAGGUGAUAUGUGUAACAAUGGCGUUCUUCUCCGACAGUGUAAUACACACUGAAGUAAAUUCCGUGUGGAAAAAUAAAUUAGGUCAAACAGU